rnacentral:rRNA from 1 species
GACGAACGCUGGCGGCGUGCCUAAUACAUGCAAGUCGAGCGAAUGACGAGAAGCUUGCUUCUCUGAUUUAGCGGCGGACGGGUGAGUAACACGUGGGCAACCUGCCCUACAGAUUGGGAUAACUCAGGGAAACCUGGGCUAAUACCGGAUAAUCCUUCGAAUCACAUGUUUUGAAGUUGAAAGGCGCUUCGGCGUCACUGUAGGAUGGGCCCGCGGUGCAUUAGCUAGUUGGUGGGGUAACGGCCUACCAAGGCAACGAUGCAUAGCCGACCUGAGAGGGUGAUCGGCCACAGUGGGACUGAGACACGGCCCAAACUCCUACGGGAGGCAGCAGUAGGGAAUCUUCCACAAUGGACGAAAGUCUGAUGGAGCAACGCCGCGUGAGUGAUGAAGGUUUUCGGAUCGUAAAACUCUGUUGUAAGGGAAGAACAAGUACGUUAGGAAAUGAACGUACCUUGACGGUACCUUAUUAGAAAGCCACGGCUAACUACGUGCCAGCCGCCGCGGUAA